UUGACGGGGCCGCACAAGCGGUGGAGCAUGUGGUUUAAUUCGACGCAACGCGAAGAACCUUACCAGGCUUGACAUCCCCUGACCGCGUAUGAAAGUACGUUUUCACCCUCGGGUGACAGGGAGACAGGUGGUGCGUGGUUGUCGUCAGCUCGUGUCGUGAGAUGUUGGGUUAAGUCCCGCAACGAGCGCAACCCCUACGUUUAGUUGCUAACAGGUGAAGCUGAGCACUCUAGACGAACUGCCGUUGACAAAACGGAGGAAGGUGGGAUGACGUCAAAUCAUCAUGCCCCUUAUGUUCUGGGCUACACACGUGCUACAAUGGCCGGUACAGACGGAGGCGAAGCCGCGAGGCGGAGCAAAUCCGAAAAAGCCGGUCUCAGUUCGGAUUGCAGGCUGCAAUUCGCCUGCAUGAAGUCGGAAUCGCUAGUAAUCGCAGGUCAGCAUACUGCGGUGAAUACGUUCCCGGGCCUU
rnacentral:rRNA from 1 species